rnacentral:rRNA from 1 species
GCCAUCCUUGGGAUACCACCCUUGUAGUACUGGGACUCUAACCAUAGGCCAUGAAUCUGGUCUUGGGACACUGUCAGGUGGGCAGUUUGACUGGGGCGGUCGCCUCCCAAAAGGUAACGGAGGCGCUCAAAGGUUCUCUCAGUACGGUCGGAAAUCGUACGUAGAGUGUAAAGGCAAAAGAGAGCUUGAUUGCAAGACAUACAGGUCGAGCAAGGAUGAAAAUCGGACUUAGUGAUCCGGUGGUUCUGCGUGGAAGGGCCAUCGCUCAACGGAUAAAAGCUACCCUGGGGAUAACAGGCUUAUCUCCCCCAAGAGUCCACAUCGACGGGGAGGUUUGGCACCUCGAUGUCGGCUCAUCACAUCCUGGGGCUGUAGUAGGUCCCAAGGGUUGGGCUGUUCGCCCAUUAAAGUGGUACGCGGGCUGGGUUCAGAACGUCGUGGGACAGUUCGGUCCCUAUCCGUCGCAGGCGGAGGUAAUUUGAGAAGCCCUGUCCUUAGUACGAGCGGACCGGGAUGGACGUACCUCUGGUGGUACCGGCUCUUAUACCC